rnacentral:rRNA from 1 species
AUUGAACGCUGGCGGCAGGCCUAACACAUGCAAGUCGAGCGAGCGGCGGACGGGUGAGUAAUGUAUGGGGACUGCCCGAUAGAGGGGGAUAACUACUGGAAACGGUGGCUAAUACCGCAAACUGUCGGAUAACCGAUAUGGGAUUAGCUAGUAGGUAAGGUAAUGGCUUACCUAGGCGACGAUCCCUAGCUGGUCUGAGAGGAUGAUCAGCCACACUGGAACGGGAACACGGCCCAGACUCCUACGGAGGCAGCAGUGGGGAAUUUUGCACAAUGGGCGCAAGCCUGAUGCAGCCAUGCCGCGGGUAUGAAGAAGGCCUCAGGGUUGUAAAGUACUUUCAGUCGGGAGGCGUUACCGACAGAAGAAGCACCGGCUAACUCCGUGCCAGCCGCCGCGGUAAUUC